rnacentral:rRNA from 1 species
AUCUGGGCGGCGGAAUUCAGGAUGGCUGGCGUGCUCCGCGCGUCGGUCGUUUGAUAUUUCCGUCGCCAAUUAACCGCAGACGUCGCGACCUGUUCGCGGUCGGUCCCUGCUCGGAGGAGCCGCGUUCGAGCUCGUUGUGUGCGCGUUUCGGCGUGUCACCGGCGAAGGCGCGGAUCUCUGGCUGGCCGUCGGACAGUAUGCUUAACGGUGUCCGGUGUCGUCGUCUCGUACGCGCGGCAUCGGUACCGGUCAGCGACGAAUUCUUCGGGCCUCUUUCCGACCCGUCUUGAAACACGGACCAAGGAGUCUAACAUGCGCGCGAGUCGCGGGGUAUCGAGCGUACUUCGGUGCGUUCGUUAUGUUGCGAAACCCGUACAUGUUGAAGGCGUAAUGAAAGUGAAUGGGGAAGAUGGUGUUCCGAGUACACGUUCCGCGAUCGUCGGUAUCGCGGCCGGGCACCCGCAUUCCCGGGGCGUCUCAACGGCCCGUCGUUGAUGCGGACAGUCGUCUCUCGGGGCGGCUGUCGGUCGGCGACGAACCGA